UACAGAGGGUGCGAGCGUUAAUCGGAAUUACUGGGCGUAAAGGGCUCGUAGGUGGCCAACUAAGUCAGACGUGAAAUCCCCAGGCUCAACCUGGGAACUGCGUCUGAUACUGGAUGGCUUGAAUUCGGGAGAGGGAUGCAGAAUUCCAGGUGUAGCGGUGAAAUGCGUAGAUAUCUGGAGGAACACCGGUGGCGAAGGCGGCAUCCUGGACCGGCAUUGACGCUGAGGCGCGAAAGCCAGGGGAGCAAACGGG
rnacentral:rRNA from 1 species